rnacentral:tRNA from 1 species
GCUGGAGUUGGUUCAGUGAUAGAGCACUUGCCUGGCGUGUAUGAGGCCCUGGGUUUGAUCCUCAGCACCACA